rnacentral:rRNA from 1 species
ACGGGGCCGCACAAGCGGUGGAUUAUGUGGAUUAAUUCGAUGCAACGCGAAAAACCUUACCCACCUUUGACAUGGCAGGAAUCCUGAAGAGAUUUGGGAGUGCUCGAAAGAGAACCUGCACACAGGUGCUGCAUGGCUGUCGUCAGCUCGUGUCGUGAGAUGUUGGGUUAAGUCCCGCAACGAGCGCAACCCUUAUCAUUAGUUGCUACGCAAGGGCACUCUAAUGAGACUGCCGGUGACAAACCGGAGGAAGGUGGGGAUGACGUCAAGUCCUCAUGGCCCUUAUGGGUAGGGCUUCACACGUCAUACAAUGGUCGGUACAGAGGGUUGCCAAGCCGCGAGGCGGAGCCAAUCCCACAAAGCCGAUCGUAGUCCGGAUUGUUCUCUGCAACUCGAGAGCAUGAAGUCGGAAUCGCUAGUAAUCGCAGGUCAGCAUACUGCGGUGAAUACGUUCCCGGGUCUU